rnacentral:ncRNA from 2 species
UAGGCGUCCUGUGGCGAUUUGUUCUCCUGAUUGCGGGCCACGUUAAAUAUGCCGCUAAAGAGGUCUGGGACGUACCCCC